rnacentral:rRNA from 1 species
AUGCACGCUGGCGGCGUGCCUCAUCCAUGCCAGUCGCGCGAACAGACGAGGAGCUUGCUCCUCUGACGUUAGCGGCGGACGGGUGAGUAACACGUGGAUAACCUACCUAUAAGACUGGGAUAACUUCGGGAAACCGGAGCUAAUACCGGAUAACAUGUUGAACCGCAUGGUUCAACAGUGAAAGACGGUCUUGCUGUCACUUAUAGAUGGAUCCGCGCCGCAUUAGCUAGUUGGUAAGGUAACGGCUUACCAAGGCAACGAUGCGUAGCCGACCUGAGAGGGUGAUCGGCCACACUGGAACUGAGACACGGUCCAGACUCCUACGGGAGGCAGCAGUAGGGAAUCUUCCGCAAUGGGCGAAAGCCUGACGGAGCAACGCCGCGUGAGUGAAGAAGGUCUUCGGAUCGUAAAACUCUGUUAUUAGGGAAGAACAAAUGUGUAAGUAACUAUGCACGUCUUGACGGUACCUAAUCAGAAAGCCACGGCUAACUACGUG